rnacentral:rRNA from 1 species
GGUUAAGCGACUAAGCGUACACGGUGGAUGCCCUGGCAGUCAGAGGCGAUGAAGGACGUGCUAAUCUGCGAAAAGCGCCGGCGAGGUGAUAUGAACCUUUGACCCGGCGAUGUCCGAAUGGGGAAACCCAGUGCAAUCCGUUGCACUAUCGUUAACUGAAUACAUAGGUUAACGAGGCGAACCGGGGGAACUGAAACAUCUAAGUACCCCGAGGAAAAGAAAUCAACCGAGAUUCCCCCAGUAGCGGCGAGCGAACGGGGAGCAGCCCGGAGUCUGAAUCAGCUUGUGUGUUAGUGGAACGGUCUGGAAAGUCCGACGGUACAGGGUGAUAGUCCCGUACACGAAAGCACACAUGCUGUGAACUCGAAGAGUAGGGCGGGACACGUGGUAUCCUGUCUGAAUAUGGGGGGACCAUCCUCCAAGGCUAAAUACUCCUGACUGACCGAUAGUGAACCAGUACCGUGAGGGAAAGGCGAAAAGAACCCCGGCGAGGGGAGUGAAAAAGAACCUGAAACCGUGUACGUACAAGCAGUGGGAGCCUCUUUUAUGGGGUGACUGCGUACCUUUUGUAUAAUGGGUCAGCGACUUAUAUUCUGUAGCAAGGUUAACCGUAUAGGGGAGCCGAAGGGAAACCGAGUCUUAACUGGGCGUUAAGUUGCAGGGUAUAGACCCGAAACCCGGUGAUCUAGCCAUGGGCAGGUUGAAGGUUGGGUAACACUAACUGGAGGACCGAACCGACUAAUGUUGAAAAAUUAGCGGAUGACCUGUGGCUGGGGGUGAAAGGCCAAUCAAACCGGGAGAUAGCUGGUUCUCCCCGAAAGCUAUUUAGGUAGCGCCUCGUGAACUCAUCUUCGGGGGUAGAGCACUGUUUCGGCUAGGGGGCCAUCCCGGCUUACCAACCCGAUGCAAACUACGAAUACCGAAGAAUGUUAUCACGGGAGACACACGGCGGGUGCUAACGUCCGUCGUGAAGAGGGAAACAACCCAGACCGCCAGCUAAGGUCCCAAAGUCAUGGUUAAGUGGGAAACGAUGUGGGAAGGCACAGACAGCCAGGAUGUUGGCUUAGAAGCAGCCAUCAUUUAAAGAAAGCGUAAUAGCUCACUGGUCGAGUCGGCCUGCGCGGAAGAUGUAACGGGGCUAAACCAUGCACCGAAGCUGCGGCAGCGACGCUUAUGCGUUGUUGGGUAGGGGAGCGUUCUGUAAGCCGUUGAAGGUGUGCUGUGAGGCAUGCUGGAGGUAUCAGAAGUGCGAAUGCUGACAUAAGUAACGAUAAAGCGGGUGAAAAGCCCGCUCGCCGGAAGACCAAGGGUUCCUGUCCAACGUUAAUCGGGGCAGGGUGAGUCGACCCCUAAGGCGAGGCCGAAAGGCGUAGUCGAUGGGAAACAGGUUAAUAUUCCUGUACUUGGUGUUACUGCGAAGGGGGGACGGAGAAGGCUAUGUCAGCCGGGCGACGGUUGUCCCGGUUUAAGCAUGUAGGCGGAGGUUCCAGGUAAAUCCGGUACCUUAUUAACGCUGAGGUGUGAUGACGAGGCACUACGGUGCUGAAGUGAUAAAUGCCCUGCUUCCAGGAAAAGCCUCUAAGCAUCAGGUAACACGAAAUCGUACCCCAAACCGACACAGGUGGUCAGGUAGAGAAUACCAAGGCGCUUGAGAGAACUCGGGUGAAGGAACUAGGCAAAAUGGUGCCGUAACUUCGGGAGAAGGCACGCUGAUGUGUAGGUGAAGCCCCUGCGGGCGGAGCUGAAAUCAGUCGAAGAUACCAGCUGGCUGCAACUGUUUAUUAAAAACACAGCACUGUGCAAACACGAAAGUGGACGUAUACGGUGUGACGCCUGCCCGGUGCCGGAAGGUUAAUUGAUGGGGUUAGCGGCAACGCGAAGCUCUUGAUCGAAGCCCCGGUAAACGGCGGCCGUAACUAUAACGGUCCUAAGGUAGCGAAAUUCCUUGUCGGGUAAGUUCCGACCUGCACGAAUGGCGUAAUGAUGGCCAGGCUGUCUCCACCCGAGACUCAGUGAAAUUGAACUCGCUGUGAAGAUGCAGUGUACCCGCGGCAAGACGGAAAGACCCCGUGAACCUUUACUAUAGCUUGACACUGAACACUGGUCCUUGAUGUGUAGGAUAGGUGGGAGGCUUUGAAGCGUGGACGCCAGUCUGCGUGGAGCCAACCUUGAAAUACCACCCUUUAAUGGCUGGUGUUCUAACGUAGACCCGUAAUCCGGGUUGCGGACAGUGUCUGGUGGGUAGUUUGACUGGGGCGGUCUCCUCCCAAAGAGUAACGGAGGAGCACGAAGGUUGGCUAAUCCUGGUCGGACAUCAGGAGGUUAGUGCAAUGGCAUAAGCCAGCUUGACUGCGAGCGUGACGGCGCGAGCAGGUGCGAAAGCAGGUCAUAGUGAUCCGGUGGUUCUGAAUGGAAGGGCCAUCGCUCAACGGAUAAAAGGUACUCCGGGGAUAACAGGCUGAUACCGCCCAAGAGUUCAUAUCGACGGCGGUGUUUGGCACCUCGAUGUCGGCUCAUCACAUCCUGGGGCUGAAGUAGGUCCCAAGGGUAUGGCUGUUCGCCAUUUAAAGUGGUACGCGAGCUGGGUUUAGAACGUCGUGAGACAGUUCGGUCCCUAUCUGCCGUGGGCGCUGGAGAAUUGAGGGGGGCUGCUCCUAGUACGAGAGGACCGGAGUGGACGCAUCACUGGUGUUCGGGUUGUCAUGCCAAUGGCACUGCCCGGUAGCUAAAUGCGGAAGAGAUAAGUGCUGAAAGCAUCUAAGCACGAAACUUGCCCCGAGAUGAGUUCUCCCUGAGACCUUGAGUCUCCUGAAGGAACGUUAAAGACGAUGACGUUGAUAGGUCGGGUGUGUAAGCGCAGCGAUGCGUUGAGCUAACCGAUACUAAUGAACCGUGAGGCUUAACCUU